GAUGAACGCUGGCGGCGUGCCUAAUACAUGCAAGUCGAGCGAACGGACGAGAAGCUUGCUUCUCUGAUGUUAGCGGCGGACGGGUGAGUAACACGUGGAUAACCUACCUAUAAGACUGGGAUAACUUCGGGAAACCGGAGCUAAUACCGGAUAAUAUUUUGAACCGCAUGAUUCAAAAGUGAAAGACGGUCUUGCUGUCACUUAUAGAUGGAUCCGCGCUGCAUUAGCUAGUUGGUAAGGUAACGGCUUACCAAGGCAACGAUGCAUAGCCGACCUGAGAGGGUGAUCGGCCACACUGGAACUGAGACACGGUCCAGACUCCUACGGGAGGCAGCAGUAGGGAAUCUUCCGCAAUGGGCGAAAGCCUGACGGAGCAACGCCGCGUGAGUGAUGAAGGUCUUCGGAUCGUAAAACUCUGUUAUUAGGGAAGAACAUAAGUGUAAGUAACUGUGCACAUCUUGACGGUACCUAAUCAGAAAGCCACGGCUAACUACGUG
rnacentral:rRNA from 1 species